UGCCUAGGCCCAGGGCAUCUGAGUCCUCAUCUUGGCACCCAGGGCCUAGGCUGAAGGAGGCUUGUGAUCUGACUGACUGUCUCCUACCAAUUGCACCCCUCGGUAGCUGCAAGAACUCACUGCUGUGGGGAGACCUGAUCUGGCUGUGCCGGAUGGGCUCCGAGGAGGAAGAGGACUUGGAAUUAGAAGAGGAACACUGGACAGACAUGCUGGAGAUCUGACCCUCAGCACCCCCAGCCCUCCACCCAUUCCUUAUCCGUGCCACUGCCUUCGGGUCUGGGCAGUUUUUACUUGAGUACAAUAAAAAGUCUGAGUUAAGG